UACAGAGGUCUCAAGCGUUGUUCGGAUUCAUUGGGCGUAAAGGGUGCGUAGGCGGCGCCGUAAGUCGGGUGUGAAAUCUCGGGGCUUAACUCCGAAACUGCAUUUGAUACUACGGUGCUUGAGGACUGGAGAGGAGACUGGAAUUUACGGUGUAGCAGUGAAAUGCGUAGAGAUCGUAAGGAAGACCAGUGGCGAAGGCGGGUCUCUGGACAGUUCCUGACGCUGAGGCACGAAGGCCAGGGGAGCAAACGGG
rnacentral:rRNA from 1 species